AGAAACAGUUCGAACUACAAUCACUGAGAAACUCGAAAUUUUCGAUACCGUAGCCGAUGAAGUGAUGAAAAUUAAGGAGU
rnacentral:ribozyme from 1 species